GAGUUCAGCUGACUGUUCAGGUUCAAAGUUGUUGCUUUUAGAAACAUAUGGCCGUGUUCCUUAAGGUCUCCGUGUUAUUUCGUUUUAUUACUUUUGCAUGCUUGUUGUGAAGAGCUCAGAUAGGACGGUGUUUACAGCAGUGUGUACAGGCGGAUCAGUUGCUCGGCUGUCUGGCUCUGGUCCGCUCUCUCGUUCCCGUACACUCGCUCUUUCAGGCUGAAUACAGAAGUGAUUCCAUGGAAAUAACACAGGAACGGCUCCUUCAUUUACCAUCCGUCUCCCCAUGGUAAUUUUAGGCUGAAGAAGUUGAUCCGGAGUGAAGUGAAGACUGCAAACUUUGCUGUUCGGCGUUAGUUUUAAGUGGCAGCGACGAAUGUCUUAAUUCAGGAUCGUUUGGGAAUCCAUGAAAACUUAAAAGCCCAUUAUAUUAGGAAGACAGCAAUGUUCAUAGUAUUGCUUUAUUUGCGUCUGAAAUACAACUUCAUCUUUUCUAGCUGUCAUGUUAACUCAAAGUGGAAACAAGAAAGCCGCAUUUCGCUCUUUUUACUUGGUGUGUACAUAUUUUGUCCUGUUCACUUAUGAAAAAAUGUAUAUACUCAUAGGAGGUGAAUUGUAAGCCUUUUUCCAUCCAUACACUCACUAUCUCUUUUGUCUCUUUUCCUUUUUGUCGAUGUCACGGAGAAGCUGCACUAUGUGGCAUACUGUGACAUUAGCAGUUAGAGUUCUUGUUGUCAUGGCCCCUUUCCUCCUGAUAAAAAUAUUAAUAAAAAAAAACAACUAAACUUAGGUUUACAUUUUAUAUGUACUUAAAUUUACCUGCAAGAACAACUUCACAUUUUCUGUAUCAAGUUUACACAACGAGCCACACGAUGAGUCUUUCGCUGUUUUCCAUCUGCACAAAAACUAAAGUCAAAAAUAACAUUCAUGACGUCAAUAAAAAUCCCUCUCACUCUCCAUUGCUGAGUGUUGCUGCAAACAUCAGAGGAGAGUUGACCACAAGCUGCAGCGCUCAUGUCUCACCCACCACAAAGAGGAACAGAGCCUAUAACGGAAAACCUCACUAUGGGGUAAAAUUGAACCCCAUGUUAACCAGUUAGAGCGCGACGUGGAAGCGAAAAGAGACUUUAGAUUCUGGAGAUGUGAUGACAGCUGCUUGAUUUUUUUGUGGCAUGAGGCUCAAAAUGUCUGUUUGCAUUCCUGCAUCCGGUAACAAAGUAAAGAACCUCUGUGGUAUUUUUUUUUUUUUUACCAGGAUUUGUUAUUUAAAUCUCAUAUUAAACAGGUUUCUUUGAUUUCCUUCGUUCAGCUCUGGAUUAUUGCUCAAAUUAAAGAUAGUUUGUCCAGGAGUGACGUACAAAACAUAGUGUUAUUAAUUCUUCAAGUAAUUCAAUGUCUCACAUCUAUGCUUUUAUUUUGAAGGAGGUUUGUUUCGUUUAUUUUCUUCUUCUUGACAUUCGUCGGCUGAUCAGUUUCUGUUUACUGUUGAGAUAGGUGCCGCAGUCAUUGAUUAUGUCAAAUUAAGGUACAAAAUUACCUUUGAUAAGAAGAAAGUCUAUCCAAGAGUCGACAAGAUUCAUGACUUAGCAACCUGGCAUUUGUCUCUGCAUCUCUGUUGAAAACUGCGGAUGACGCUUGAACCUCAGAGGCCUCUUCCGUCUGAGAGCAUCCUGUUUAAAGCUUCGCCUCACCAAGCUGAUCAGUUGUUGGGUUCGUCUUUGUCUUGUGUCAAAAUGUGAACAGCGUGAUGAGGAGGACGGCUUAAAUACCAGUUCUUGUUGAACUGGUAUUUCAGGCCAAUCACUUAAUUGUACAUGUGUUUGAAUAAUCAAACACCUGUUGACUUUAAACUUGUUAUAGAACACGUUGUGAAGAAAGUUCAGAAACAACUGUACAUGUGCUUUUAAUACAGUACUGUAUUUUAACUUAUAAAUCAAUGUAGACAACUCUUGAUGUGGAAAAAUUAAAGUAAG